rnacentral:rRNA from 2 species
GUCGAGCGCACAGGUUUACCUGUGAGCGGCAGACGGGUGAGUAACGCGUGGGAAUCUACCUUAAGCUGCGGGAUAACAGAGAGAAAUUUCUGCUAAUACCGCAUGUGCCCGGAAGGGGAAAGAUUUAUCGGCUUAAGAUGAGCCCGCGUUGGAUUAGCUAGUUGGUGGGGUAAAGGCCUACCAAGGCGACGAUCCAUAGCUGGUCUGAGAGGAUGAUCAGCCACACUGGGACUGAGACACGGCCCAGACUCCUACGGGAGGCAGCAGUGGGGAAUAUUGGACAAUGGGCGCAAGCCUGAUCCAGCCAUGCCGCGUGAGUGAUGAAGGCCUUAGGGUUGUAAAGCUCUUUCACCGGGGAAGAUAAUGACGGUACCCGGAGAAGAAGCCCCGGCUAACUUCGUGCCAGCAGCCGCGGUAAUACGAAGGGGGCUAGCGUUGUUCGGAAUUACUGGGCGUAAAGAGCGCGUAGGCGGAAAAGUAAGUCAGGGGUGAAA